CGGGGAAACUCACCAGGUCCAGAUGAAAUAAGGAUUGACAGAUUGAGAGCUCUUUCUUGAUUUUUCAGGUGGUGGUGCAUGGCCGUUCUUAGUUCGUGGGGUGACUUGUCUGCUUAAUUGCGAUAACGAACGAGACCUUCACCUGCUAAAUAGCCAGGCUAGCUUUGGCUGGUCGCCGGCUUCUUAGAGGGACUAUCGGCUCAAGCCGAUGGAAGUUGGAGGCAAUAACAGGUCUGUGAUGCCCUUAGAUGUUCUGGGCCGCACGCGCGCUACACUGACAGAGCCAACGAGUUCUUUCCCUUGGCCGGAAGGUCUGGGUAAUCUUGUUAAACUCUGUCGUGCUGGGGAUAGAGCAUGCAAUUAUUGCUCUUCAACGAGGAAUGCCUAGUAAGCGCGUGUCAUCAGCACGCGUGAUUACGUCCCUGCCCUUUGUACACACCGCCCGUCGCUACUACCGAUUGAAUGGCUCAGUGAGGCCUUCGGACUGGCUCGAGGAGGUUGGCAACGACCACCUCAAGCCGGAAAGUUGGUCAAACUCGGUCAUUUAGAGGAAGUAAAAGUCGUAACAAGGUU
rnacentral:rRNA from 1 species